rnacentral:rRNA from 1 species
GACGAACGCUGGCGGCGUGGAUUAGGCAUGCAAGUCGAACGGUAUCAUCCUUUCGGGGGUGAGAGAGUGGCGAACUGGUGAGUAACACGUAGGUUAUCUACCCUCAAGACGGGGACAACCCAGGGAAACUUGGGCUAAUACCGGAUGUGAGCAACUUUUAGUUGUUUGAAAGGUGGCGUAAGCUGUCGCUUGGGGAUGAGCCUGCGUCCUAUUAGUUAGUUGGUGAGGUAACGGCUCACCUAGGCAAUGAUAGGUAGGCGGCCUUAACGGGUGGUCGCCCACACUGGGAUUGAGAUACGGCCCAGACUCCUACGGGAGGCAGCAGUCGAGAAUAGUCUACAAUGGUCGGAAGACUGAUAGUGCGACGCCGCGUGAACGAUGAAUCCCUUCGGGGUGUAAAGUUCUUUUAUAUGUGAGCAGUGCUUCUUAUAUUUAACAGUUAUGGGGAGAGAGAUAUUAGCAUAUGAAUAAGCAACGGCUAACUCCGUGCCAGCAGCCGCGGU